AGCGAACGCUGGCGGCAGGCUUAACACAUGCAAGUCGAGCGGGCAUCUUCGGGUGUCAGCGGCGGACGGGUGAGUAACGCGUGGGAACGUGCCUUCUGGUUCGGAAUAACUCAGGGAAACUUGAGCUAAUACCGGAUACGCCCUUUUGGGGAAAGGUUUACUGCCGGAAGAUCGGCCCGCGUCUGAUUAGCUAGUUGGUGGGGUAACGGCCUACCAAGGCGACGAUCAGUAGCUGGUCUGAGAGGAUGAUCAGCCACACUGGGACUGAGACACGGCCCAGACUCCUACGGGAGGCAGCAGUGGGGAAUAUUGGACAAUGGGGACAACCCUGAUCCAGCCAUGCCGCGUGAGUGAUGAAGGCCUUAGGGUUGUAAAGCUCUUUUAUCCGGGACGAUAAUGACGGUACCGGAGGAAUAAGCCCCGGCUAACUUCGUGCCAGCAGCCGCCGUAA
rnacentral:rRNA from 1 species